UACGUAGGUGGCAAGCGUUGUCCGGAUUUACUGGGCGUAAAGGGCGUGCAGGCGGUCUGUUAAGUUCAGGGUGAAAGCUCCCGGCUCAACUGGGAGAGGUCCUUGGAUACUGGCAGACUUGAGGAGGGUAGAGGAGAGUGGAAUUCCCGGUGUAGUGGUGAUAUGCGUAGAUAUUGGGAGGAACACCAGUGGCGAAGGCGGCUCACUGGACCGGUACUGACGCUGAUGCGCGAAAGCGUGGGGAGCAAACGGG
rnacentral:rRNA from 1 species